rnacentral:rRNA from 1 species
ACGGAAGGCAGCAGUAAGGGAUAUUGCACAAUGGGGGAAACCCUGAUGCAGCAACGCCGCGUGAAGGAAGAAGGCCUUCGGGUUGUAAACUUCUUUUGUCAGGGACGAAGGACGUGACGGUACCUGACGAAUAAGCAACGGCUAACUACGUGCCAGCAGCCGCGGUAAUACGUAGGUUGCAAGCGUUGUCCGGAUUUACUGGGUGUAAAGGGCGUGUAGGCGGAUCUGCAAGUCAGAUGUGAAAUCCCGGGGCUCAACCCCGGAACUGCAUUUGAAACUGUAGACCUUGAGUAUCGGAGAGGCAAGCGGAAUUCCUAGUGUAGCGGUGAAAUGCGUAGAUAUUAGGAGGAACACCAGUGGCGAAGGCGGCUUGCUGGACGACAACUGACGCUGAGGCGCGAAAGCGUGGGGAGCAAACAGGAUUAGAUACCCUGGUA